rnacentral:lncRNA from 1 species
UAAAGGGAGAAGGGUGCUUGUUAUAAAGGGAGAAGGGUGCUUGUUAUAAAGGGAGAAGGGUGCUUGUUAUAAAGGAGAAGGUGCUUGUUUUAAGGAAAGGGUGCUUGUUAUAAAGGGAAAAGGGUGCUUGUGAAAAGGGUGCUUGUUAUAAAGGGAA